ACUUUGACUGUGCUAAGGUAGCAUAAUAAAUUGACUCUUAAUUGGGGCCUAGAAUGAAUGGAUUUAUGGGUAGAUACUGUCUUUAAAAAUUUAAUAAAAGUUACUUAAAAGGUGAAAAUUCCUUUAAUAUAAUUUAUUAGACGAGAAGACCCUAGGAGUUUAAAUAUAUUUUGUUGGGGCGACAUUAUAGCAUAAAACCUAUAAAUUUUAAAAAUUAUAACGAAAAAUUUUAAUAUUAAUUAAACUACCCUAGGGAUAACAGCAUAAUUUUACUAAUAAGUUUGUGACCUCGAUGUUGGAUUAAGGACUUUAAAGUUAACAGCGUUAAAAGAUUGUUCUGUUCGAAC
rnacentral:rRNA from 1 species